CCUUUCUCUAUUAAAAACGUCGGUGCCAGGCUGGCUCUGGACUCAGAAUGGUUUGCGGGUGUUUUUUGGCUCGGGGUAAGAUUUUGACAGGUUUGCACUGGUUCCCCCGAGAUGCUGACAGAGCUAGAUUGUGGCUGCAGGCGGUGGCUCGGCCAUCAGCUCCUGACACAUCGACAAUGUUUGUGUGUAACAAACUUCUUUCACAAGAGAGCUUUUGCAAACAUAAGGACGUUGGCAUUGCUCACGGGAGUAAUCUCAGACGAGAAGACGCUGAACGAAGUCCCACAUAUCUUUCCAUUCCUACAGGGCAGCCAUUUCACUUGAGCUGCUGGCUGGAAAUACUGGAGUUUUGCCCAGUGACCGCAGAUGAAGGAGGAAGUCUAAAUAUGGUCAUUGGUGAGAUGAAUAUAUCGUGACAUCACAAAACAAGCAGCAGCAACGCUUCCCGCUUCUUCACACAGUCACAUUAGAAAUGGCUGUUCGGAGCAAAUGCUAUUAUAAUUGAAGUUACAGAUAAGUUAAGACUAUAAUUGUAAAAUUGUAAUUGUUAAAUAAAGGUUAUUAGAACAUGAUACAUAUGUUAACCUAUGUAAUCGUCUUGUGUUCAGAAUCUGGAUGAGGCCUUAAUAAAGUUAUUCUUGUUUUUGAACUGUCAGCUCUCCCAUCAUAUUUAGGAAUGUGCAUAUAAUAUUUUAACCUAUAAUAGAUUGAACUUUAAUAUGAUGUUAUGCACAGUCUUUGAAACUGAAAGACCUGCCAACAGAACGAGUUGCUAGCACAAACUGAAAAUAUAAGCCACCAUAAUGCAUUUUUUUUUUCUCUUUUUUGCUUUCUUGUACUGAGAAACAACAGUUCCGUGAUUUUGAAUGUAUUUUUUAUGUUUUUAUGUUUUAUAUAAGCUGUAAGGGUAGCUUGUCUGGCAUUUUUCAUGUUUAUAUCUUAACUGUUAACAUCAAUUUUAUUACAAAUAAGCAUAUUUUUUAAUAAAAUAGAUUUAGAUUGUUAGACAUUGAUGGGGUUUUGUUUAGGGGUGGGCUUAAGUAAGAAUUGAGAGAUAUGGUCCUUCUGUUUAGAGCAGACCCAGGAAAGCUUUAAAAAAAUGUUUGAAAGUUUGUUUUUAGACCACUAUAUAAGCACUAUAUGGUGCUGCUAAAACCAUAAGCAACAUUAAAAUGCAAAGGGUUGUCUGUCUUUGCAUUAUUCCAGUGCCUCAGAUAUUUGAAAUAAUAAAAACUGUUGCAAAAAUUGUAAAAAAAAAUAUAACUGAACAUUAAAUAUUGCAGUUAAUAUCAAAUCUGGCAUUUAUAGAGUUUUAUUAAAAUGUACCUAUUCCCACAACUGGUGCAGAAAUAUUUUGAGUUGAUUUAUUGCAUUGCAGAUUCUUGAUGUGUGACAAAAUCAUGUCUUCAUAUCUGUGUGUUAGAGCAAAAAGUUUUACUGUGUAGGCUAUAAUCAUAAAAAUGCUGUACUAUAGGACUAAUUAUUAUAUACACUGUAAAUACUUUAUAUUUAUUUUUAUUUAUUCAACAUAUCCAUCCGAAUUCCUUUGCAUUAUUUCUAUAUUGCACAUCUACACAUCCAAUAUUGUGUAUUGUUUUCACUUGUUUGUCAUAAUAAAAAUCUUUCCCAUCUGUGCACAGGUAAAUUCCUCAUGUGUAGAAGCACACUUGGCAAUUAAACGCUUUCUGAUUUUGAUUGUUA